AUAUAUACACACACACAAAUAGAAUAUAUGUUAUAUAUUAGAUAAGUGGCAGAAAAAUCGAUGGAUGGAUGGAACUGUAUGAAAAAUAAUGCUGCUUAUGAAAGUAGGUAAGUAAGAAUUUCAGGUUAGAAUUCCAUUGUACCUUGUACGCAUGACACUGCUUUCUUAAAAACUUAUACUGCCAUUAAAUUUUGAAGACGCUGUACAAAGGAGGACACAAUAGUGUUCGGAAUAUUUUUUUCUUGUCUGUGAAAAUAUACAGCUCUUCUGGACACUCAUUCUUAAAAAAAUCAGAUGCUACUUUAAUACUAUCUGUACCGUUAGUAAAGACAAUGUUCCGUGACAAAACGUGACCAUACUGCCACGCCAAUUUCUGGUGGCACUGCACCUCGCGCAUGCGUCUUGUUAUCCUCAUGUAAGUGCACAGACGAAGCCGGAAUCAACACAGAUAGGCCGUAAGGUGAAGCAGCUUUUCGUUUCAUUCCGUUCCCAUAUAUGGGGCACUACACUCUUUUUAUUCCAAUAAAAAGAUCAAUUGGUAUAGAAUGAAAAAAUAAAAGUUCUCCCUGUAUAAUCCAGCAGUUAUUUUUUAACAAGUGUAUAAAGUUGGCAAUAGUCCCAUCCUCGCGUAAUCAUUUUUUAAAGGUGAGAGAUGCGGCUUCGCGUCACGUGCUUGCCGCUAGACCAAUGAGAUGGCAUUACGUCGGAACGACAUGUAAACAUGGUCCAAGAUGGCAGCGCCCUUGUCGUCACUAUCGAGUAGCGAAGAGGAUAAAAUUAUUGUCAGACCUCCACCAAAAGUCAGUAAAAGGGUUUAUAAACAAUGCUAUAUGCAUCUCACGUCCAUAAAAAAAGAAGAAGCGAAGGAUUUUACACGCACACGGUGGGAUACAUUUAGAAACUGCAUCAAACGGUGGCUUGACUUGCAGGGUGAGAGUCAGAAAAUAGCAGAAACAUAUAAACAUUGUCUAGAAAUCGAGUUUGACCGUGUGCCCAAAGACACAGGGUUUCACUCCAUUUGCUACCGGCGUUUUAUUGACAAAAAGCGCUUGGAUGCGGCCGAGAAACGAGUUUCACGGCGUCCUGAAGCUGGUGAUGAUCAUAACACAGACCAGUCUGUGUCAUCGGGAAAUAGUAUUUCGUCAACGUAUUGCCCAACAAAAAAACUUAGGUCCAGUACCGGACUGCUGAUAGCUUGUUCGGGUUCUGUACUUCCUGCUUUGUGCAUAAUUUGCAAGAAAACGGACAAGUACAUCACUGUGGCAGGCAAACGCCAGAAGGACAAUCUUUCACAAGCGGAGACGCUGUCGGCAGGUAUAAAGCACACAAGCACACGUUUGAACUUAAAGUUAUAUGCCAUAUGCUGAGAACCAUAACUAACUUUCAAAUACAUCAAUAUUUACAUUACAUGUACAUUAUAAUGUUUAUAGUGCAGUCAGUUUUUGCAUACACAUAUGCAUGAACAGUCAGAACUGUUAUGUUUUUUUAAAUACAUAUUUAUUACAGGCCAGUUGCUCAAAGCAGCUGAGAUGAAGGAAGACACUAGCAUUCUUGUGCAUAUUAAAGACAAAGACUGUGUCUCUGGAAGUAUGAUAUCACAAGUCCUGUUACAGACAGUACACCAGGUUCUUGACAAAGUCUACUGGAACAAAUACACAGACCUCAGAAGAACACAAUGAGCCAACCUAUGAUGUCAGCUACAAGAUCUUCUCUGAGAGAAUCAUCUGCCAUCGAAUAAUUGUAAACCAAGAGGUGAUGACAAUGACACAGCUAAGAAAAAUGUUUUUAAAUCUUGUAAAAAGCCAUGAAGAUCUUGAUGCUUCAAACUACAGGUAAUUUAAAUACCCUAAGUUUGUUUUGCAGAUUUGGAAUAAACAUUUACGCAAACUUUUUCUCAGAAAAAUUUAAUAAAUAAUAAUAUUCAUAUUAUUAUUAUUAUCAUAUUAAAUAUUCAUAUAAUAUUCUGUUUAGUUGACAGAGUACCAGUAAAUGGAGCUAUACUUUUUGAUGGCAUGACAGUCAUUCAAGCCUUUCAGUCCAUACCAAGUACCUUCGGGGAGCUUGCUGACACUAUUCUACAGUACUUAGUCAAGCUUGCUCUCAAGCACAACUGUACACGGAUAGAUUUUGUGAUAGACAAGUAUCCAGAAAUUAGUAUUAAAAAUGUAGAAUGAUCACGCAGAGCUGUUGGUGGCACACAACAGGUAAAAAUUUAUGGACGGGAUCAAAAGACACCAACACAAUCGAAGAAGUUUCUGUCGGAUGGGGCAAACAAAGAAGCACUGGCAGAAUUCCUCUAUGUAAUGUGGCGAGACGCUGAUCUUACCAUUUUAGGUAAGGACUUACAUUUAUACAUAACACAUGGAGACCUGUGUCACUGCAUGGCUGUAACAGAGGAUUUACAAACUGUCAGUGAUGUUGAAAAUCUGACAUGUGAUCAUGAGGAAUGUGACACCAGGUUGUUUUUUCAUGCAAAACAUGCUGCACAGGAACACCAAACUGUAGUCAUCAAGAGCCCUGAUACUGAUGUGGCAGUGAUUGCAUUAAGUCUGCAGCCAGAUUUACCAUGCAGAUUGUAUUUUUUCACUGGGGUUGGCAACAAAACGAGGAUCAUUGACUUAUGUAAGGUGUCAUCAGCUCUCGGCAACAGUGUAUGUUUGGCACUUAUUGGGAUCCAUACCUUCUCAGGCUGUGACUCUACAAGUGCCUUUUAUGGCAAGGGGAAAAAAAGUCAUUUUCUGUUGCUUGCGAGAAAGAGGAAUACCUGACUGCAUUUAGAAAUCUGGGUAGCAGUUUUAAUUUGGACCAGUCUACCUUUGAAGUGCUUUGCAAAUAUGUCUGUCACCUAUAUGGCCAAUCAUGUGCUAAAAGUCUGAACGAUGCACGAUACAAAGCAUUCUGCAUGGCAUCAUCAGCUUUGCCAGAAUGAUCCAUGCCUCCGACAAGUGAUGCUUUGUACCAACACUGCAAAAGGGCAAACUACCAAGCAGCCAUAAUGAGACAUUCUCUGAAAGGUAAAAUGUGUGCCCCUUCACCUGUUGGCAAUGGAAAGCACCUCGAGGAUGGGGAGUUAACAGUGACGUGGAUGACUAGAAAUCCAGCCCCUGAUAGUGUGUUGCAGGUUGUCCACUGCAGUUGCAAGCAAGGCAAAUGUGAGACUGGAAGAUGUUCCUGUAUGUCUGCAAAUCUGUCCUGUACAGAUUUAUGCCGCUGUCUCAAUUGCACAAAUGUUUUCCAGGAAACAGAGGAAAGAGCUACAUGUGAAGAUGGUUCUGAUGAAAGUGAUAAGGAUAGUAGUGAUGAGUAAAGGUGAUCUGUGUCACAGGUUACUUGGAUUUGAGCUGUAAUGAAGCUGCUGUAAAAUGUUUAAUAUUUGUCGUUAUUGAAAAAUUAGUGCAGCAGUCCAGCAUUUCAAGUCAUUUUAGCCAACUUGGACCAAAAACUGUUUUUAUCUUUAAUUUUGUGUGAUUCCUAAGUGCCUACUGAACAUUUUGAUAAAUACAACAUAACAAAAAUGUUUAAGUUUCAAUUUGUUCUUCAGUUUUAUUUGGUGCCAAUCGGUGAAGUUGAAGUGCGUUAUAAAAAAAAAUUGAAUUAUUUCAUGGUCUUCCUUCAAAAUUGAGUUGAUUAAUGCACCAAUACUUGUCUCAGAUAUGUAGCUACAUGUAUAAAUGUGGAUUUGACAUAUAUUUUGUUUUGAUUAAAUGCGUAUUAAUAAAGUUACAGGCCAAACUA